GGGGGCGUAAUGGCUUCGACGGGGACGGUAAGGCACCGUAAGCGCGUAGUGGUGCGGGACCACUCUAAAACCUGCAACUCUUAAAAUUAACUGACAACAAUACUGUUGCCCUCGCGGCCUAAUUAGGCUGCCGUCCUUACCCGCUGUACCGCGCGCGGGAUAAGGGCGUCGAUUAGCGGUGAACAUGAGCAGCGCCCCGUCACCGGUGCUGCCACGACGUAGUGACUACCAAAACCGAUUGCCUGCCGUUCGGCGAUCGGUUGCGGGAAUGAUAUAGAGCGGCUGCACGCGGAGAAAGCGAUGUCAAGCGGUUUUCGGACAGGGGUUCAACUCCCCUCGCCUCCACCA
rnacentral:tmRNA from 1 species